AUUGAACGCUGGCGGCAGGCCUAACACAUGCAAGUCGAGCGGCAGCGGGAAAGUAGCUUGCUACUUUUGCCGGCGAGCGGCGGACGGGUGAGUAAUGCCUGGGGAUCUGCCCAGUCGAGGGGGAUAACUACUGGAAACGGUAGCUAAUACCGCAUACGCCCUACGGGGGAAAGCAGGGGACCUUCGGGCCUUGCGCGAUUGGAUGAACCCAGGUGGGAUUAGCUAGUUGGUGAGGUAAUGGCUCACCAAGGCGACGAUCCCUAGCUGGUCUGAGAGGAUGCUCAGCCACACUGGAACUGAGACACGGUCCAGACUCCUACGGGAGGAAGCAGUGGGGAAUAUUGCACAAUGGGGGAAACCCUGAUGCAGCCAUGCCGCGUGUGUGAAGAAGGCAUUCGGGUUGUAAAGCACUUUCAGCGAGGAGGAAAGGUUGGUAGCUAAUAACUGCCAGCUGUGACGUUACUCGCAGAAGAAGCACCGGCUAACUCCGUGCCACCAGCCGCAGUAACAC
rnacentral:rRNA from 1 species